rnacentral:rRNA from 1 species
AACCUCCGCAAUGUGAGAAAUCGCGACGGGGGGAUCCCAAGUGCCAUUCUUAACGGGAUGGCUUUUCAUUAGUGUAAAAAGCUUUUGGAAUAAGAGCUGGGCAAGACCGGUGCCAGCCGCCGCGGUAACACCGGCAGCUCUAGUGGUAGCAAUUUUUAUUGGGCCUAAAGCGUCCGUAGCCGGUUUAAUAAGUCUCUGGUGAAAUCCUGUAGCUUAACUGUGGGAAUUGCUGGAGAUACUAUUAGACUUGAGACCGGGAGAGGUUAGAGGUACUCCCAGGGUAGAGGUGAAAUUCUGUAAUCCUGGGAGGACCGCCUGUUGCGAAGGCGUCUAACUGGAACGGUUCUGACGGUGAGGGACGAAAGUUAGGGGCGCGAACCGGAUUAGAUACCCGGGUAGUCCUAACUGUAAACGAUGCGGACUUGGUGUUGGGGUGGCUUUGAGCUGCUCCAGUGCCGAAGGGAAGCUGUUAAGUCCGCCGCCUGGAAGUACGGUCGCAAGACUGAAACUUAAAGGAAUU